ACUUUUCCUGGAGAUCUUCUGUCUUAUUUAAUCAGUUCUUCAACUGCAAACAAAAUGAGAAUGAAAGAGUAGUAAGAAGGCAGCAAGCAGCAGUCCUCUCAUCACCCUGUAGGUGCAGCCACUCCCUGCAGCAGCAACAGCAGAGCUGGACGGAGGGACCCCCCAGCUGCUCCAGGAGGAGGUGAGAGACCAUCAUCAUUGCCAUAACCCAUUCCUAUCACCAUUCCUUCUGUCCUCAGCAAAAAUGAAGUUGAGCCCCACCCAAAAAUUUCCUCACAAGUGCACCAGUCAUCACAUCUCCAUCACUUGGCAUUUCUGCUCAGGGCCAAAGUGGGAAAAAGUCCUCUGGAUCCUGUCCUCAGAUUCAGUCAAGAAGCCUUGGUGAUUCUGGCACACUGCUUUGUGCCUUGAGGAGUGGUUAUUUGAUCCAGCCAGCCCUGGGAAAAGCAGCUGAGACAAUCAAGCUGAAAACAUCACGGGGCACAAAGCCAGCAACGAGCUCUGCUGCCCACUCACCCCAGCCUGGCUCCCAGAAACAUCCAUCCCCACCAAGCACAGCUGAGGGGUGUCCUUGGGUCAGCUCCUCCUGCUGCAGGGGAAGUGCUUCCAGCUCCCUCCUGACUCCUCUCCUCACUCCUGAUGCUGGAGCUGCCACUGGAAUGUUUCCACCCAGAUUGCCUAGCAAGAGCAAAGCAAACUCCCAGGAUCCUCCUCACCUGGUUCCUCUGCCUCAGGAAGAAUCCUGACACUGUUCCAGAAGCAAUAAUGGCACACCCUCUGUAUGGAACAGACAUGUGCAGGAUGUUUGUGAAGAGGUCUCAUUUGGAGGUACAGGAUCAUAAAGUGAUGCUGAAUUAUUUGAUCUUCUUGAUUAGAAGACAGAGGUGGCUGAAGUACAAAGACCCCUUCUGGCAUGCUGGUGGAACACCGGCCUUGGCACGUCAGGAGAAACGUGUGACUUUGGGCAGAGCCCUGCUGGGCAGCCACCCUCAGGCUAGAUGCUGCUCUGGAGCUGGUGAUCACCAAAUGUGGCCAGAACUUCAGUGACCCCUGCUCUUCCUACUGCAGUUAAGUGUUCAUUGAAAGUCUCUGAGGCAGAUUCCAUCAAAAGUAUAUAUUUAUUUAUAAAAAAGAAUAAGGAAAAAAGUAUAUACCAAAGAGCUUUUUCUGUAAAAGACAAUUCCUUGGAGGCUGAAUGUCUUAGACCCAAGUAUGCCUGGCACUGCAGUCCAUGGCUGUAGAUGGCUGAUCCACAUUUGAUGCUGAAUAUCAUGGGAAUUUGGAAUCAGAUGGUUCAGCAAGGGAUUUUUCCACUGAAAACUAAGAGACAUUAACCACACAUCUCAUACAGGUUUCUGUUAGAGAUGUACAGCUAGCUCCCUUCAGGGGGUUUAAAAUUCAAUCCAGAGAGGAAAAAAAUACAUAUUUUUUUUACUCUAGGCCCUAAAUUGCUUCACUGUUUGAGUCCAUCUCCAUACAAAAGACACAUGGCCAGCCCCCUGUCCAGUGUAAAGCACCAGUGUCAUGCACACACUCCAAUAUGUGGGUCAGACUCAGAAAACCUCUUGAUCCCUCUUCUUGUACCUCCUUGGUUUAAGGGUACCAAAUACAAUAGCAGAGGUUCACCAGAAUUUUCAGUUUAACUAAAUCAUCAAUUUAAGUGAAUUUGAGGCUCCUCGUUCUGCCCAUGCUCUCUCCUGGUUUCAGAGUCUGUGGGCAGCUGUUGGGAUGUGGUUCCUUGGGAACAUAGAGGGGAGACAGUGACCCAGACAGCAGGACAGCUGCUCAGUGCUGAACCUGCCUUUGAAAUGAAAGGCAAAAUAAACAGAUCUUUUCCUUUGAGACA
rnacentral:lncRNA from 1 species